CAGGCUUAUAGAAGUAUGGUCCUCCUUCCUUUUUUCCCAAAGCAGAAAAACGAGCAGCUCAUGUAACUUAUUUCAGUUGUCCACUAACGUUGAGUAGGAUACUGCACGUAUAAGAUGAAGUUUAGGUUGUUUUUUAAUUUGGCUGCCAUUUUGGGAUCAGGAUGGGCAAUUCCAUUGGAAAAUCUUGAAAAAAUCACUUUGGAUUUCUUUCCUAACCACACCAUGCUUUUAACAAGCUACAUGAGCACCUACUUUAUUGUUAACAUUCCAAAAUGUGUUGCCUCCUCAAAGUUUUCUCCAACCAGAGUAAGAGUAGCAGUAGCUCAGGUUCCUGAUUCAACCUCAUUGCCAGGAGUGACAGACAGUGAAGAGAUUGAAAAUCUUCGGAAAACACCUCAGGCUACUGUAUAUUUUGCUGGCGAAUUUAAGAGUGUCUCAUGUCGAGAAACCAGGGGUCUUUUAGUAGUGGAUUUAGAUAACAGCCAAUAUGAACUGACCACAAUUCUAGGCUACCAGGUGGGAGCAGAAUUUUGUCGCCAAACUAAAGGUCCUUUCUGCAAUCAAGUCCUGAAGCCAUCCACAUUUUAUAGGGUAAAUUUCCUCUUUUUGGAUGACAAGUCCACAAUACGAGCGCAGACAGAUUGGUCACCAGCCAUACAAACCAGAAAUGUGACAAAUUAUGAAUCNGCCGACGUGAUGUUCGAAGGGAGAUCUGGUGGAAUGAUAGUAAUUACCAUUCUGGUCUCAGUGGGCGGGGCUGUGCUAGUGGUGGCAUUAAUUGUGGCAGUAGAUUUUUCCAAUAAGAAAUAAUAAGUCAGUCAAAUCANUGUUCAUCUUCUUCUAAGUUAAGAGCGGCUACAAAAUUGUCAGUCUCAGAAUUUAUUUGGAGAAUCAAAAAAGUAACAUGUACUCAGACAAAAAAAAAAAAAAAAUCAAGCAUGCUGAAUAAUGAAAAGCAAACAAUUAAAACUGUACGUUUGUCAUUUAUUCCAAUCACAUUUUUCAACUGUGUAUCUAAAAUAAAAAUUCACAUGAAUGCA
rnacentral:lncRNA from 1 species